rnacentral:tRNA from 1 species
CUCCGGGUUGCGGACGGCGUACAUGCGGGCGAUCCGGCCGUCCUCGACGACGAAGGUGACCGCGGUGUCGAACUCGCCGCCCGGGUC